rnacentral:miRNA from 2 species
UGAACACCGAUAUGCGUCAUC